rnacentral:rRNA from 1 species
AGAGUUUGAUCCUGGCUCAGAACGUACGCUGGCGGCACGCCUAACACAUGCAAGUCGAACGAAGUAGCAAUACUUAGUGGCAGACGGGUGAGUAACAUGUGGGUAUCUGCCCUUUGGCCUGGAAUAACACGAGGAAACUUGUGCUAAUACCGGAUAAGUCUUUACGGAGAAAGCUUUAUGCACCAUUGGAUGAGCCUGCACUUGAUUAGUUUGUUGGUGGGGUAAUGGCCUACCAAGACUGUGAUCAAUAGCUGAUUUGAGAGGAUGAUCAGCCACAUUGGGACUGAGACACGGCCCAAACUCCUACGGGAGGCAGCAGUGGGGAAUCUUGCACAAUGGAGGAAACUCUGAUGCAGCGAUGCCGCGUGAGUGAAGAAGGCCCUUGGGUUGUAAAGCUCUUUCGUCGGGGAAGAAAAUGACUGUACCCGAAUAAGAAGGUCCGGCUAACUUCGUGCCAGCAGCCGCGGUAAUACGAAGGGACCUAGCGUAGUUCGGAAUUACUGGGCUUAAAGAGUUCGUAGGUGGUUGAAAAAGUUAGUGGUGAAAUCCCAGAGCUUAACUCUGGAACUGCCAUUAAAACUUUUCAGCUAGAGUAUGAUAGAGGAAAGCAGAAUUUCUAGUGUAGAGGUGAAAUUCGUAGAUAUUAG